rnacentral:rRNA from 1 species
AUUGAACGCUGGCGGAAUGCUUUACACAUGCAAGUCGAACGGCAGCACGGACUUCGGUCUGGUGGCGAGUGGCGAACGGGUGAGUAAUAUAUCGGAACGUGCCCAGUCGUGGGGGAUAACGUAGUGAAAAUUACGCUAAUACCGCAUACGAUCUAUGGAUGAAAGCGGGGGCUCGCAAGACCUAGCGCGAUUGGAGCGGCCGAUAUCAGAUUAGGUAGUUGGUUAGGUAAAGGCACACCAAGCCGACGAUCUGUAGGUGGUGUGAGAGGACGCCCAGCCAGAAUGGAGCUGCGACGCGGGCCAGACUCCGACGGGAGUGAGCAGUGGGGAAUUUUGGACGAUGGGCGAAAGUCUUCUCCUGCGAUUCCGCGUGCAGGACUUAGGCCUUCGGGUUGUAAACUGCUUUUGUACACAACGAAAAGGUAUAUAUUAAGACUGGGGGCUCAUAACGGUACUGUAAGAAUAAGCACCGGCUAACUACGUGCCAGCCGCCGCCGUAAAAC